rnacentral:rRNA from 1 species
GACGAACGCUGGCGGCGUGCUUAACACAUGCAAGUCGAACGGAAAGGCCCUGCUUUUGUGGGGUGCUCGAGUGGCGAACGGGUGAGUAACACGUGAGUAACCUGCCCUUGACUUUGGGAUAACUUCAGGAAACUGGGGCUAAUACCGGAUAGGAGCUCCUGCUGCAUGGUGGGGGUUGGAAAGUUUCGGCGGUUGGGGAUGGACUCGCGGCUUAUCAGCUUGUUGGUGGGGUAGUGGCUUACCAAGGCUUUGACGGGUAGCCGGCCUGGGAGGGUAACCGGCGCCAUAGGGCCUAAGAUACGGCCGAGAAUCCUAUGGGCGGCAGCGGUGGGGAAGAUUGCACGAUGGGCGGAAGCCUGAUGCAGCAACGCCCCGUGCGGGAUGACGGCCUUCGGGUUGUGAACCGCUUUCGCCUGUGACGAAGCGUGAGUGACGGUAAUGGGUAAAGAAGCACCGGCUAACUACGUG